AGUGAACGCUGGCGGCAGGCCUAACACAUGCAAGUCGAACGGCAGCACAAGAGAGCUUGCUCUCUGGGUGGCGAGUGGCGGACGGGUGAGGAAUGCAUCGGAAUCUGCCCAUUUGUGGGGGAUAACCUCGGGAAACCGGGACUAAUACCGCAUACGACCUACGGGUGAAAGCAGGGGAUCUUCGGACCUUGCGCAGAUGGAUGAGCCGAUGCCGGAUUAGCUAGUUGGAGGGGUAAAGGCCCACCAAGGCGACGAUCCGUAGCUGGUCUGAGAGGAUGAUCAGCCACACUGGGACGGAGACACGGCCCAGACUCCUACGGGAGGCAGCAGUGGGGAAUAUUGGACAAUGGGCGCAAGCCUGAUCCAGCCAUGCCGCGUGUGUGAAGAAGGCCUUCGGGUUGUAAAGCACUUUUGUUGGGAAAGAAAAGCAGCCGGUUAAUACCCGGUUGUCAUGACGGUACCCAAGGAAUAAGCACCGGCUAACUUCGUG
rnacentral:rRNA from 1 species